rnacentral:rRNA from 1 species
UGGGGAAUAUUGGGCAAUGGGCGCAAGCCUGACCCAGCUAUGCCGCGUGAGUGAUGAAGGCCUUCGGAUCGUAAAGCUCUGUGGAGAGGGAAGAACAAGCACGUGGCUAAUAUCCACGGGCCCUGACGGUACCUCUUUAGCAAGCACCGGCUAACUCCGUGCCAGCAGCCGCGGUAAUACGGAGGGUGCAAACGUUGCUCGGAAUUAUUGGGCGUAAAGCGCACGUAGGCGGCCGACUAAGUCGGGUGUGAAAGCCCUGGGCUCAACCCAGGAAGUGCACUCGAAACUGACCGGCUUGAAUAUGGAAGAGGGUCGCGGAAUUCCCGGUGUAGAGGUGAAAUUCGUAGUUAUCGGGAGGAACACCAGUGGCGAAGGCGGCGACCUGGGCCAAUAUUGACGCUGAGGUGCGAAAGCGUGGGGAGCAAACAG